GAUUUCUGGAAGAACUCUACAACUCAAAGCAAAUGAGUUAUAAAGUACGUAUAUGGUUUAUUUCAGCGCUGGGCACAUGGCAGGAUAGCUCCCAAAGGCAUGUGCGCCCCAACAUGGCAACUUGCCUUGGUUCUAUGCAGUAAAGAGUUACAUAUGCAUGAAGUUUCCCAAUAUGCCUAUGCAUACGCAUAACCUAUCCCUGCUUUGUAUUAAAAUUAGCUGCAAGUCAGUUCCAUAAACUCCUGUCUGUGCUUGCGCAGUGCCUUCUGGUGGUGGUUGUCAGGGGGGUUGUGUGGAUGAAAGCUGAUAACUUCUUCAUCACCAGUUGCUGACUCAGCUGCUCCUUGGUUCUUGUCCAAAUCACAAAGUUGGUCUCAGCUGGUUUUAUGAGACAGGUUCCCCAUUUUUGUCAGGAAACUGUCCUCUGUCAGGGGCUUCGACACUCCUUGUUUCGGUUAAUUUGUACAGUAGUAAGCUAAGACACCCAACAUCUAUUUUAAUGCGGUUAAGCAAGCCCCCAUUCUUACAUUCCUGGCUUUAAUAAUGAUUGUUUUAUUUAGAAAUCGUUAAUGUGAUUAAACAAGCCCCCAUUGUUCUAUCCCUGGCUUCAGUGGCACCCUCUGGGUCAGGCUGAUCACCACACAACACAGCUCAGGCGGCUUCUCUGUGCCAAGAUGGCUGUCAGUCACACCCCAAAGCUGGUGUGGUGAAACUGAAAAGAAACCACUCUCUUCAGGUUCCUUCCUAAAAGCGAAAUGUUUAUUAAUUCUCUAAGUUUGCAAAAGAAGACCACAUCCAUCUGAAGCUUGCUUAUGUGGAAGCAGAGCUGGCCAGGCCAAGACAGCUUGAGAGGAGCUUCCCAUGGCCUCAGGGGUGAUGAGCACUGCUUGUUGCAGCUGAGGAGGCUGCAUCAGCAACACCAACCUGGGAAGUGGGGACCUGCCUGGAGCGAUGCGGUGAGGCAUUCUGAAAGGAGCAUUAAUCUUGCCUGGAAGGGCCGACCUGCUGGCAGCCGAUUCAUCAGCAACACUCCCUGGAAGCUGCUGGCCCACACUUUCUGUCAGUGGUGGGUGGCAAGAUUCAGAAAUGUUAAGAGAAGAAUACCUACAGUCUUCAAAUCUGAGCUCCUCUGUAUGCGGACCAUGGGCAGGUUAGCUUUUAUGGAGAACAUAAAGAACUGGAAUGCAAACGCAAGUGUGUACAGAGGGCCAGUUAAGGUACUCAUUCAGAAACCUGAAGGAUCAGCUAUGUCUUAAAUAACACCUCCUUCUGGGGACUUAAGCAGUUACCUGGUGGCCCUCUCGUCAUCUUCAUGUGAGCCUCAGGUGUGGCUUGAAUAUGCUACAGCUCUGCAUAAG
rnacentral:lncRNA from 1 species